UUAAUUGAAGAGUUUGAUCAUGGCUCAGAUUGAACGCUGGCGGCAGGCCUAACACAUGCAAGUCGAGCGGCAGCACAGAGAAACUUGUUUCUCGGGUGGCGAGCGGCGGACGGGUGAGU
rnacentral:rRNA from 1 species